CAGAAGAUAGAAGGUCUUGGAGGAUUUAUCUGAUGACCUGUCCCCAGUAGAGGUAAUGCAUGCUCUAAGUGAGAUUUCACCUGGGAUAUUUGUCACAGUUAUGACCAUACAUACUUAAGGCAGGUCAGUUCAAACUUGUUCAAAAGAUUAGGCAAAAGAAACCCCAGCUAUUAAUUUCUCCUUUUUUUUUUUUCAUCCUUUUAUCUGUGAAGGUGAAACUGAAAGGUUUUGGUUUCUGUAGCCCAGCAAAGAAAGGUAGAGAUUGAUUAAGGUGUUUGUCUGUGAGGGAGAUGGGAUCAUGUUUUCUGAUGGGAAGAUGGUAGCCUACCUGCAAACAAGAGGAAAUUGAGUAGCAACAUAUGACUGUGAAUAGACAAUGAGCACUUUUAAACUGGAAAUGAGGAAGGCUCCCAUCUACCAGAAGAAUGAGACUCUGGAAAGAGCAGGGUCAGGAAAGCUGACCAACUUGUUUUUAAGAUUGCAUUAAUGAAAGUCAUGCUAUUACAGGUGUGCCUGGAGCAUCACAACAGAUUGACUACACCCCUGCAAGUAGCUUCCAUUCCCUUUGUGAAGGGAAGGUAGUAAAAACUGCUUAAUCUGAAUAUGCUGUGGUUCUAAAAUACUUGUUUUUCAGUAUUUCUACCUUCUUUAAAGCAGGUCAUUGCUCACUUGAGACCUUCACAAACCCAGUUCUCUCUUAGGAAUGAUUCCCAAAAAUGGAAGGUGUCCCCUCACCCAGGGACACAGAGGCAGGGAGCUGCUUCUGCAGGGCUGACAUUGCUGCUGUGCUGCUGCUGCUGCUGCUGGCGAACAAACAGAGCUCUGUUCAUUUUCUGCUCCAGCAGAACGAGCAGGGGGCGGGGAAUGGGACAGAAGAAGGAUGAGCUCGGGGAUGGAGGCUGCUCAAUAGAAUGAGAAAAACAUGAUGAGAGAAGACAAUGUAUAUUCCAUUUCAUAAAGAAAUUCAUUCAAUUACACAUGUUAAACAAAAUUUGGAAGGGUUUGCCCUUUUAUUGUUGUUCACAGGACUGCUUAUCUGUUCAUUUUUUUCUGUUUUGCAUGCUAAUGAUAAAUCAAAGCUGAUCAUCUUGUCAUUGCCAUUGAUCCUGAUUUAGGGAAAACUAAAAACAUAAAAUACUUUCCAUUUUUCUCAUUGCUUAUUUCUCCCUGCAUUCCAAAUAACAAGCUGCUGUUGUGAUAUGAAAAUCAUUUUAAAGACUGAAGCAUCCAGACUGUACUCACAACACAGGAAGAGACAUGCUUGUGUUCUAUUGGCCACUUUGGAAGUCUCAGUCUGUAUAUUUUUCAUCAAUUUGAAUUAUGUUGCUUUGGUCCUUCUGAAAACAAAGCAACUAGUAAUGAAAAAAAAAAUCUGUUACAAGUUUUAUAAGACACAGUACUUUCAAAAAUGUGGCAUUUUAGAACUGUGGCUGUUAAAUUUGUUGGCCUCUGCAUGACUGGUCUACUAAGAAGCUGUACUGGUGUUGUUCUAGUAAGUUAAAAAUGUUAUUUUAAAAUGUUUUUUUACUGUCACUAGAACAAUGCAUGAUAUAAGACGAGCAAAUUCUGAAACACAAGAGUCUUAAUUCUGUGUCUGAGAGAUUCUGCAUUUUCAUUUGGACAGAGAAGUCAGCAAUGAAGGAGAAGGCAGCUGGCACUCAUCAUUGACAGAAGAGGAGACAGUGUGUGAAAAAAGUAUUUUUACUUAACAAACUCAUACCAGAUAAUCCUAAUGAAGCUGCAGGAUGUCAGUUGUAGAAAGCAGCAGCCAAAUCUCACAGAUUUUCAUGAAACUUAACAAAAUAAGCCAGGAGUCUAGGGGUGCACAAUGAGUUGGGAGGAGACACAGUCAGGACAGCUGACCCCAGCUGACACAAGGGAUAUUCCAGACCAAGUGUCCUCAUGCUCGGCAUAAAAAGAUCUGAUGAAAGAAGAAGAAGGGACAUUUGGAGUGAUGUCAUCUGUCUUCCCAAGUUACCUUUAUGCAUGAUGGAGCCCUGAUUUCCUGGGGAUGGCUGAGCACCUCCCUGCCCAUGGAAAGAAGUGAAUGAAUUGCUUGUUCUGCUUGUGUUCUGCUGUUCUUCUCCUUGUGUGUGUGUCUUUUACUUUUGCAAAUAAAUCG